UUAGCGCCGUUUUCGCUACCAUCCUUCUCGCAGCGGCGGUCGUUGAGGCCCAGUAUGGCUACGCAAAGCCGUGCCCUCCUGAGGUCAGAUACGUGACCAAGACGCAGUCGGUGCCCCAGUAUGUCACUGUGACCCGAUACCAAACUCAGACACGGUACCAAACUGCGUACACCACCCAGUACGUGACAGAGACCCAGGCCGUGCCCCAGUAUGUGAC